rnacentral:lncRNA from 1 species
CCCAUCUCAUGCAUUGACUUUAGGUGGGUUCCUUCAAAUCUAACUUCUUUCCCUUCCUAUUAGAGGUAGGACUCAAGAAAAUCUUUCCCGAGUUGGAAGUUGAAAGGGCAGGUGCAUCAAGGGCUAAUGGUGAAAGUUUGAGCUCAUUUCCAUUUCUAAAAUCUUAGCUUAGCAUCUUCUGAUAAACAGGAUGAUGGUUUGGCAGCCUUGGAGACUUGGCAUGAUGUCAAAGUAACUCAAUGAUUCCCAGGUAGAAUUCACUGAUUGAGCAGUGGAUACUAAAUACUUCCCCAAAUCCCAUAGAGACAUCAGAAUUGCAAACCGUAAUAUUCUGGAUAAAGCUGACUUCCAGAGCUUUUCAGCCAUAUAAGGCUCACCACCUAGUUCAUUCUGAGGAAGUACACACUAUUCCGCAAAUUCAGCUGAUCUGCACAGCCAGUGUUCCUGAGCUACAGCUACCAAAACCUUCACAACUUCCUCUAGAAAACUCAGAAUUGUGAAAUGUAAAAUUCUACAGAAAGAUGACUUCUAGAGCUUUCCAAAUAUAUAAGGCUUGUCAUUUGGUUCAG